rnacentral:lncRNA from 12 species
CUAUGAAUUAGCUAAAACAAUAUACUGCUGCCAUUAAGAAAGAAAGUAGAGCAUAGCACCUGAAUAUAACACUAGGUGGUAAUUCUAUCUUUUUUUUCCUAUUUUCUCAGCAGGACUGUUCCAUCCUUUGUGAAUUUUUGGCAGUCAAAAUAUCAAGUUCUAAGAAGGAAGAACAAAUUUGAAUAAGGGUCAGCAUGAUUGAGAAACUCAAGAAGAGAAGCUCUAGAGGACACAAGAUGUUUCUGAGCUGAGAACUCACCAGGCUACAUUGCAGGUCUCUGGUUACAUUAGGAUAGACCUCUGUAUGGCAUCAACAGAGAGCCAUACACCUGCCCUCAAAGUCCAGUGAGGCAAGAGGGGGAGCAACGUUGUUCUUCUACAUCUCCUGUAAACAGUUGGUUGCCUUCAAGGAGAU